AACUGGAACAAGAUGCAGGACUGAGUGCUUCUCUAAGGAAAGAAAGAGGAAACAGCAGUGUUGACCUGCCCUGGAGUCCACCCUCACCUCAGCUCUGCUCCGCAUCCCUCGUGCUCCUGGGUCACCGCCAACCGCACCGAAACCCCAGGGCUCACUCACUCUUGUGCUUCUGGGCAUGUCCAACCUGCAGCCAUCAGAGGGCCCCAUGCAUCUCAGGGUGCUAUGGACAUGGCCCAAUGUAUCUGCAGAGGACAUCAUGUCACAGUAUCAGAAGAUCAGGUACCCCACAUGUAUAGAGCGCUUUUCCACCCCCACCUCACUGAAACUCUUUAACAACCCUUCAGCCUCAUCAGACUCUUGGGAAAGCCUGGCCUUGCAUGGUUCCUGAGCCUGCCUCUACCACACAAUUAAGCUUUGAGGCCUACUAAGGCCUAAAUGCUACUACCAGGGGCAAGGAGUCCUUGACUCCACUGUAAAAUCAUCUUCCUGUGUGGUGCCAUGUAUCUUGGGCUACCUUACCAUCAUUCUUGUCAUCUACCACUGUAAUUACACAUUUACAGACUGCC
rnacentral:lncRNA from 1 species